AAAAAAAAUAAAAAACAUAAGCCCAAUGCGGGGCUCGAACCCGCGACAACCAGAUUAAGAGUCUGGUGCUCUACCGACUGAGCUAACCGGGCGGCGG
rnacentral:tRNA from 1 species